rnacentral:rRNA from 1 species
ACGUUAUGGUGGGCGACUCUAAGGAGACUGCCGGUGGACAAACCGGAGGAAGUGGGGAUGACGUCAAGUCAUCAUGGCCCUUACGGCCUGGGCUACACACGUGCUACAAUGGUCGGUACAAAGGGUUGCCAAGCCGCGAGGUGGAGCUAAUCCCAUAAAACCGAUCGUAGUCCGGAUCGCAGUCUGCAACUCGACUGCGUGAAGUCGGAAUCGCUAGUAAUCGUGAAUCAGAAUGUCACGGUGAAUACGUUCCCGGGCCUU